GCAACCCUGACGGAGCGACGCCGCGUGUGGGAAGAAGGCCUUCGGGUCGUAAACCACUGUCGAAGGGGACGAUAUUGACGGUACCCUUGGAGGAAGCCCCGGCUAACUACGUGCCAGCAGCCGCGGUAAGACGUAGGGGGCAAGCGUUGUCCGGAAUCAUUGGGCGUAAAGCGCUCGUAGGCGGAUCAACAAGUCUGUGAAGAAAGACCCGGGCUCAACUCGGGGAACGGCAUGGAUACUGUUGGUCUUGAGGUAAUCAGAGGAUGAUGGAAUUCCCGGUGUUGCGGUGAAAUGCGUAGAUAUCGGGAGGAACACCAGUGGCGAAGGCGAUCAUCUGGGGUUAUUCUGACGCUGAGGAGCGAAAGCUAGGGGAGCAAACGGGAUUAGAUACCCCGGUAGUCCUAGCCGUAAACGAUGGACACUAGGUGUAGGUGGUAUCGACUCCAUCUGUGCCGCAGUUAACACAAUAAGGUCCCGCCUGGGGAGAUCGCCCGGAAAUG
rnacentral:rRNA from 1 species